rnacentral:rRNA from 1 species
ACCUGGUUGAUCCUGCCAGUAGCAUAUGCUUGUCUCAAAGAUUAAGCCAUGCACGUCUCAGUACAUGCCGCUAAUAUAAAAGGCGAAACCGCAAAUGGCUCAUUAAAUCAGUCACGGUUCAUUGGAUCGUAACGCGUUACUUGGAUAACUGUAGUAAUUCUAGAGCUAAUACAUGCAGCCGAGCUCCGAGCGCCCUCUCGGGGGCAGGACGAGCGCUUUUAUUAGAUUCUUCCCCACGGUCUCCGGACCGUCGAAGUGACCGAAGCUGAGUAACUUUGCAGAUCGCACGGGCCCGCCCCGGCGACGCAUCCUUCAAGUGUCUGCCUUAUCAACUGUCGACGGUAGGUUAUUCGCCUACCGUGGUCGCCACGGGUGACGGGGAAUCAGGGUUCGAUUCCGGAGAGGGAGCCUGAGAAACGGCUACCACAUCUAAGGAAGGCAGCAGGCACGCAAAUUACCCAAUCCCGGCUCGGGGAGGUAGUGACGAAAAAUAACGACGCUGGACUCUACGAGACCCAGUCGUCGGAAUGAGUGCGCUCUAAACCCUCGACGCGAGGACCCACCGGAGGGCAAGACUAAUGCCAGCCGCUGCGGUAAUUUUAGCCGGUAGCGUAUACUAAAUUUGUUGCAGUUAAAAAGCUCGUAGUUGGAUUCCUGCUCUGGACGUAGGGGGCCGCUAACGCGGUCCACCAUGCGCACCCGGCAUUCUGCCCGCCGCUCCCGAGAUCGUUGUCAAAGGCGGCUCGGGGUGGAUGGCGGAGAUCGCUUUGCAAAAAUUAGAGUGCUCUAGGCGGGCCACUAAGCUCGAAUAGUAAUGCACGGUACGAUGAAACAUGACUUUGGCUCUUAUUCGGUUGGGGCACGGAGACCGAGGUAAUGAUUAAUAGGAGCAGACGGGGGCAUUCGUAUUCCGACGCUAGAGGUGAAAUUCUUGGACCGUCGGAAGACGCACCACUGCGAAAGCAUUUGCCAAGAAUGUUUCCGUUGACCAAGAACGAAAGUGUGGGGCUCAAAGAAGAUUAGAUACCUUUGUAGUCUUGUACCCUAAACGAUACCCUCCAGCGAUCCGGCUGCGUACGAACGUGACGCGCCGGGCAGCUCUUCCGGGGAAACCAGAGUUCCGGCUCCGGGGGAAGUAUGGUUGCAAAGCUGAAACUUAAAGGAAUUGACGGAGGGGCACUACCAGGAGUGGAGCCUACGGCUUAAUUUGACUCAACACGGGAAAACUUACCCGGCCCGGACGUGUUAUCGGUUGAACAGACUGACGGCUCUUUUUAGAGUUUGUGGAUGGUGGUGCAUGGCCGCAGUUGGUUCGUGGGGUGACCUGUCUGGUUAAUUCCGAUAAACGGACGAGAUUCUUGCUUACUAAAUACGUUAAUUCUUCAUGAACGAAGAUAUUAGCUUCUUAGAAGGACCGUCGGCUUCGAAGCCGUACGAAAAGGAGCGAUUGCAGGUCUGUGAUGCCCUAAGAUGUCCGGGGCCGCACGUGCGCUACAGUAGAGCGGACAACGUGCUUCUUUGUUCCUUGG